rnacentral:sRNA from 1 species
CACAGCUCACAAGGCUCAGUCGUCCUCCAUCCUUCCCCGUCCUUUGGUGCCUGUUUGCAAGAUGUGCAGAAACACCAGAGGGCCAGCGGAGACCCUCCUUUUACUGAAUGCUGGCAGCCUCCUGAGAACCACGUCUGCCAGCAGUGGGGAGCGGAGAGAGUGGACGAGCAUGGGCGACUGAGGUCCCAAAUGGCGCGAGCCGCUGGGCCCUGUGCACAGAUGGGCCUGCCUGCUUGUUCCGACGUCUCAGGCUUGAUUGAAGCUGGAAGAAACCAAGGACAAUGUGUCCUUUAGAAGUGUAAGGUCAGAAGGUGCCCUGACUCCAGCCGACCUGGAAAAGGACAUGUCCUGCAUAUCUGGAGGUGACCCACACGGUCCAGGAAAGAUCGGCUGCCUUGCCUGCAUCCCAGGGCGCUUCCCGGCCUCUGUUAAGAGGCGUCCAUUGCAUCCACAUGAUUUCUUUUGCUCCACUAUUUCCAGGCAGAGUAUGACUCCCUCUUGACAAGCUAUUUCCAGGCACAGUAUGACUCCCUCUUGAAGCUAGAAUGCCCUGCAAACCCGGGAUGGACUUCUCUCCCCUUUCAAAGAUCGAGUGAAGUUUGCAAAUGUGAAAGGAAGGAAUUGCGUUUCCAGCGGUAACCUUUGAAGGGGAACGAAAUUGUCACAGGACGUCAGGAGCCAUGUCGGGGAGCACGGUGUCCUCUGAGUCUCAACACCCCUUGCUUCCCGCUUGGUGAUGGUCGAUGGCUGUGUCCAGGACCUCUCAGGCCCUGGGCCCUGGUUGCUGCGGUGGAAGCUGCCUGUUCAGGCAUCAUCUCUAUCACCCCUUGAAGGGAGCCAAAGAGGUGUUUGCCAGUUGGAUGUUUUAUCUUGACUUGUCUUUCCUGAUUCUUUGUUAGAACACCCCCAGGGCUUGGUUUUUGUUCUCAACCUGUGAUUAGAAAUAAGAUCCUAAAGUGUCAGACCUGGAAGGCCCAUGAGAGCUGAGGAGAUCAAAUGGCAUGGGGUGCCCGGAGCUUGGGAGAUCAGAUGACCUGGGGCACCCCUGAGGGCUCGGGAGAUCAAAUGGCCUGGGGUGCCUAGAGCCAGUGGUGGCCUCCUCUGCAGCUCCUUCCUCUGUCCUACCCACCACAGAGUCCCUGCUGGCCCCUCCGCCACCACAGGUCCCCUGAGCAUUGCUGGGUUUGUUUCUCCAGCUCCUCCUGCUUCCUGCAGGAGCAGUUCCCAGAGGGGCGAUUUCUCCAGCCUGCCUGGUUGGUUGUGUGGAUUGGUUAUAGUUGCUCUUUCGGGCGACCGCAGACCCUCUGAAGGCCGUGGCCGUGGGUGUGGCUCUAUGGUCACCUCUCUCUUCUCCUCUCCCAGGUCGCGUCUCCUUCUUCACCUCGGGGUCCGAGAACCUGCACCGGGUGGAGAAGGUCCACUGGGGCACCCGUUACGCCAUCACCAUCGCCUUCAGCUGCAACCCUGACCAUGGCAUUGAGGACCCAGCGUUCCUGUAGCCGGCAGCCGAGCCAAGGUAACUUCAGGAGGGCCUGUGUGGAGGCAGCCGCGCCAGUCGUGCGCCCGCCCCCACGUCCACCCACUCCCGUUGCACAGAGUGCCUUAGGAAUUCUCUGAUUUUGAUUUGCUGAUGUGUUAAUCUUUUCAUCUGUGAGUAAAUGGAGGGAACCAGCUUUUCACUUCUCCAGCAUUGUGUGUGCUUGGGCUGUAGGCCUGGGAGCCUGAGCUGGAGGCCAGCCCCUCCUUCAGGAAAGGGACCCAGCAGGACGGGGCGCAAGUCCCCAUCUGUGAACGGACGGGACUCAUCCACCGAGGCCUCGUCCAGGUUCAGCAACCCCCUGGCCCAUCAAAGACUGGCUAAAGCAUCAGCCAUAAAUGGGGACAAACGUGGGGCCAGCAGCUUCCGCUUGGGGUCUCGGCAUCAGCAAACCGCGGCAGCUUUGGAGAAGGGUCCGUGAGUGGCGGCUCUGGAGGCAGCAACGGGGUCCUUUGGGGUGGGUGGGAGUUCUGCUGGAUUCAGGUGGAGGUGAACAUCUGCCGUUCCCACAGACCUGCGUGCACCCCCAAUGCUGCCGGCCCACGAAUCACCAUGGGCACCACGGCCCCACCACGCCAGGCUUGGCCCUGUCAGCGGCCAGCAUCCCGAGGGCCAGGGUCCGAGUGUCCUCACCAAGGAGGCUCUUGGUGUCACUGUGCCGGCCCCCGUGGGCCUUCUGCUGGGUCAAGGGUAGGUCUCCUCUUCCCCUUUUGCCCUGGCAUUAAACUCAUGGUCAGGCUGGGCACGGUGGCUCACACCUGUAAUCUCAGCACUGCAGGAGGCCGAAGCAGGAGGAUCACUUGAGGUCAGGAGUUCAAGACCAGCCUGGCCAACAUGGUGAAACCCUGUCUCUACUAAAAAUGCAAAAACAAAUUAGCCAGGCGUGGUGGCGCAAGCCUAUAAUCCCAGCUACUGGGGAGGCUGAGGCAGGAGAAUCACUUGAACCCAGGGGGCAGAGGAGGUUGCAGUGAGCCGAGAUCGUGCCACUGCACUCCAGCCUGGGUAACAGAGUGAGACUCCAUCUUAAAAAUAUAAAAAUAAAGUAGUAGUCAGAGGAGCCCCGAAUAGACCAGCUGUGGAGAGGCCUGGGUGGGGUGGCUGGCAGGGAGGGCAGGCCAAGCCCAGUUUCUGCCCACAGUCACCUCGAGGUGACUGUCCAGGGGUUUGGGCACCUUCCCGGGAGGGGGACGGCUGCCCACCCUGAGUGGUGUCGAAGCUGGGCUCGCUCUCCUGGAUGCCCUGACCCAGCUGCCUGGGGAGAGCCCUGGGCCCUUCCUCCCUCGGCCCCUCCUGCCUCGGUCCCUCCUCCCUCAGCCUGUCUGGCAUAGAUCCAUCUUCCCCAGCCCCUGGCACAGGUGCCUCUGACUGGAGGAGACCCCACCUGUGGCCUGGGAGCUGCUCUGGGGGUUGAUAAAGAAAGGGGCAGCAUUCCUGGGCCCUGGGAAGGAGCGGGCAUGAGGCCAGCUGAGGCAUGGUGACCCCUGGGUACGGGGGACUUGGGGGCUGUACCUCGGUUUGCCCAGGGCCCCUCCUGCACCACGGGCCGUCUCAGGGCUACUGGGGCCACGGGCCACAUGCGGAGGACGGCGUGGGAUAGGCUCCCUGGGUCCACAGCUUCUGCCCGUGUAUAGGGAGCCCUCGUUGGUCAGGGCUGCAGACUCUGGGCAGGUGGGGCAGGAACCCUGAGGCUCCCACGCCCUCCCAUGGCCUCUGACGAGGCACGAUUCUGAAGGACUCCAUGGAUCUGGGAGGAUGAGGCCCACCUCCGGUUGGUGGACAAAGCCGUCCUCGCGGGGCCGGCUGCUUCACGGACGCUCUCCGGGUCGGGCCGGUGGGCCCCAUCCUGGGUGGGAAGUCGCCCGAGCCUGGGCCGCCCUUGAGCUUCUCCCAGUCUUGACUUUCCGGAGGGUCCGUGGCUGUGGUCACAGUCGGGGCAGGUGGAAAAUGCUGCAUGGAAACUUGAUCCUGUCACCUUGGAGUAAAUGAUGAUGUCGCCGGCUUCUCGCCACAUCUAAAGGAUAAAUGCAUUUGAAGAAAGUGGGUGUUGGGUUUAUUAUGGGUUAAAGUGCUUUUGAAAUAAGUAAAUUAUUAGUUUGAUUUUCA